rnacentral:rRNA from 1 species
GUGGGGAAUCUUGCGCAAUGGGCGAAAGCCUGACGCAGCCAUGCCGCGUGAAUGAUGAAGGUCUUAGGAUUGUAAAAUUCUUUCACCGGGGACGAUAAUGACGGUACCCGGAGAAGAAGCUCCGGCUAACUUCGUGCCAGCAGCCGCGGUAAUACGAAGGGGGCUAGCGUUGCUCGGAAUUACUGGGCGUAAAGGGCGCGUAGGCGGACAGCUUAGUCAGAGGUGAAAGCCCAGGGCUCAACCUUGGAAUUGCCUUUGAUACUGGCUGUCUUGAGUUUGGGAGAGGUGAGUGGAACUCCGAGUGUAGAGGUGAAAUUCGUAGAUAUUCGGAAGAACACCAGUGGCGAAGGCGACAUACUGGUCCAUUACUGACGCUGAGGCUCGAAAGCGUGGGGAGCAAACAGGAUUAGAUACCCUGGUAGUCC